UAGGCUUCCAGCUGCUGGUUGCCACCUUGCCCCCGUCUGGUGGCCGCUGUGGUACAUCUUGCUGGCUUGUCCGUUCAUUUCCUGCUCCUCCCCCACCUCCCCCAGGAACUUAGAAAGCCAAGGGCAGGUGUUUCUCCUCAUUUGCCUUGUUACAUUCCACACACCUAAGGCGGUACCUGGCUCCUGUUGACGUGAGUCUGGACCGCACGCCUCCAUAUGGCCUACACCAAGACUUCCUACUUCCCUCCUGAAAUCCCUUCUGUGAAGAGAGAUUUAUCAAGACGAUGUGAGGCACCUGUGAGUUCUGGCAGCGCAUCCCUGUGGCUUUCCCAUGCUCCUGCCUCAUGCGUACUGAAGUAAACUCUGAGACGUGAUUGAUGCCAGUGACCCCUUCCCCACAGGAUGGACUUCAGCACUCCAAUACCGCUAACAACAUAUCAUUAGCAUUCCUGAGAGUGAUAAUUCUAGCUGUAUCCUGAGUGAAUUCUCACGGUGACUGCGACUGUGUCUACAGCAGAAUCCUCAUUUCCAGAGAUGUUUGGGUUAUGCGUCUGUCAGGGUUUAUUUCCUAACCUACAAAGCCGACACUCCCGGGGAAGGUAUCUUCUUUUGAUAUUGCUUUUGAUAGAAAGUCGGACUUAUACUAUUUCCAAAGAAAUAUAAAAAGGCAGGCAAUUCAUGAUUUCAAGGAUAGCAGAUCCGUGGCUACCUUGUUUUUAAAAUCCCUUGAUCAGUUUCAUGAUGACCUUUUGUGGAUGGGAUCCUGGAGAAUUCUCUGCCUUUUUGGUGGUAUUCAGGGAGUGUUGGUUCCAACAAGAUGAAUCAACAUUGGCCUCCUUGUGUCCUGCCCUAUCCCCCUCCCUCCCUCCCAUGCAGCAAUGGCACUCCAAAUUUUAUUUUUUUUAUGCUGGUUAGACACAUUCCCUUCACCUCCCUUCCCAUCCACCAUAAUAGAAUGCUCUAGCCAUGUGCCUUGAUGUCGAAGGUCAGACGGGACACACCUGUUGGACACAUCAGUCUUGCCAAAUACGAACCACAGAGGAAAACGAAGAAGACAGAUAGCAAACUGUUCCCUGGUAUAAGGAAGGGCUGUCUUAGCUUCAGACUGAGAGGUCAAGGAACUCGUCAUUGGAAGCUAAGCAGUCCUUCACAAGAAUGUGUGCUUGAGUGUCAGAUAUGGUACAUCCAUUCGGAGGCGACACAGCUAUGAGCCAUGGGGGCGGGGGGACACCGCAAGACCCAAAAUAAUAAUUUCACUGUGAAUCACGGGAAGCUUCGCUCUCGAAAUAAAAUCUUCCCAGCCGUGAUGUCAUAUAAUUACUAAUUAAAGCAAUUAUGUCCUCA